UCACGGUAAGAUUUUGAGUAAUUGCUGAGAAUGAGCACCACUGGAUUCCCAAGCCCUCAUAGAAUCUGACAAGCCUGCCACUCUCUGCAGUAAGUUCUUGGUAGCUCACAUUACUUUAGAUCACAAUCUUUGUUAGAGGUCGAUUAUAGAUAUAUGCUGAUGAUGUCUAGCUUUUGCCGAAUCCCUGUGACUUCCAAGAAGAGAAAUACCACUGAAUGAAUUAAUCAAAGACCGUGUAAAAAUUAACCAAGAUUGUAUUCAUAUUUUCCACCAUUUCCGGUUUUCCAUUGUUUUUACAAGCUCAUUUGCUAAUGAUGCAAAAUCUUCGGCCCCACUUUGCAGCUCUUCAGUGCGUCGGCUGAUUCUCUGUCAAAAGUAAGGGGGUAAAUAGCUCGUAUUCAGAAAGCCCAUCAAGUUGUGGAAUAAUAAGAUGAAAGUUCACAAGAUUUUCAUGACCUGACCAUGAUUUAGUGUAAUAUUUAAGUUGUGGGGUAAUUUUUUCCUUUUUUUCUGUGGUAUUAUGAAUGAAACAAGUCUGUUUCAAAAUAUAAUCAAUGGAGUUUCAUCAGAUGUCUCUGAUGUUUCCUCCCUAACACAGCAUCUCUAUCAAGCACCUUAUUUUAUUUUUUAUUUUUGGCUCUGUCAUCCUCAAUAGAAAACAAGAGAAGAAGCAGCGUAAUAGUUCAAAGCAGUUUUAUCCGCUUCAAAUAUGAAUGGAUUAGAGAUAGAAAUCUGACCUCCAGUUUGUCCUGCCUCUCUAAAAGUUUGUCUCUCGCAUGUGCAGCCACAGAUGAGGCAUCCUGAAAUCAGUUACCAGAUCAGAUGACAAUUUAUUUCAAGGCUUGCUUCUCAUAUCAGAAGAUCCGGUAAACUAAAACCAUCGUUAGAAAUACCUCUGCUUUUCUAUAUUUAGCGAUAAUCUCUUCUCGUGUCCUAAGUCUGGGCUUUGCCUCAUCAGGUGCACCUAAUAAUCUUUCCCUCUCUGACAGUUUUUCUGCGAUGAAUAAAGAAUAUUGUUGAUAUAUGAAGAUCCAAGCACGCAUAUCAAGGACAUGAAAGUCAGAUUUACCUUUCUUCGUAUUUGUAACUUCAUGAGAUGAAGUGGCCAUCAUGGAUGGUGGUUCAUCUAUUUCAAUGUCAUCUGCGCCAAACAGUGCAUGCAGUGGUGAGUGAAGAAUCAACAAAAAGAAACAUUACAGUGACGGAUAGGACAGAACCUAUAUUUAGCUCGAUUUCCUCAUUAUUUGUAGCGGCUGGAGAUAAGUCUGGGAAUGGGGGCCUCGAAAAUAUUCCCUCUAACUGAGAAAAGCUGGAUUUUGGGUCUAUACUGACAUCCAAAGUAUGGAACAUUUUUUCCCCUUUAAAGCCUUUCACGAUGCCACCAAGAAUCCCAGCUGCAGUGGUCUGCAGCAAAAGUGGUGGAUGCAUAAGAAAACUAUACAAUUCUUAACAAAUAUAGAAAUAGAAGAAAAUGGAUAUAACUCCUUGAACCUGUUUUUUCUUCUGAUUUGAAGAGACAUUAAAGGCAGCAGCUGCAGCAGCUUCAAGAACUUUAUCAUGAAGACAAGGCGAAGACUCCAGAAUACUAGAAAGAGCACCAUGGUUCUUUUAGAAAUUCAUUUGUAAGUAAUAAUUGAAAUUUGUGCUAAUUUUUAUAUUUUCAUCACAGCUUUGACUAAACAGGAGUGUACCUGAAUUCAUUUUCACCAGCUAACAGAUUGACGAAAGCCACUUCACUCCCAUUUGCCUGUUUAUUCAGCGACAGAAAAAUAUUGUUAAAUGAAUCAUCAAUAGCACAGAAAAUGUGCAGAUCACAAGGGUUGUGACAAUCAACUAUCCUCAAUUUCAGAAGCAUGUGAUUGAAGUAUA
rnacentral:lncRNA from 1 species